rnacentral:misc_RNA from 1 species
GAUGAAGAACGUAGCGAAAUGCGAUAAGUAAUGUGAAUUGCAGAAUUCAGUGAAUCAUCGAAUCUUUGAACGCAUAUUGCGCCCGCCAGUAUUCUGGCGGGCAUGCCUGUCUGAGCGUCAUUUCAACCCUCAUGCCCCUAGGGCGUGGUGUUGGGGAUCGGCCAAAGCCCGCGAGGGACGGCCGGCCCCUAAAUCUAGUGGCGGACCCGUCGUGGCCUCCUCUGCGAAGUAGUGAUAUUCCGCAUCGGAGAGCGACGAGCCCCUGCCGUUAAACCCCCAACUUUCCAAGGUUGACCUCAGAUCAGGUAGGAAUACCCGCUGAACUUAAGCAUAUCAAUAAGCGGAGGA